AAAAUAUCAGAUACAAAAUUAGGGGAAAAUUUGUUUAACUAGUCAACUUGCCCAAGUUUAUUUACUCUCCAGAUAUCUAUUGCAUUGUGAAUGGACGCCAGCUCGAGCUGAUGGAGAAUUCAGUCCAGUAGAUGGUUUCAAAGCGUUUAUGAGCUGAAGCCAGCCUGCCACCCCUGCUAAGGCUGGUGUUGCGUGGUGUCAGACACUAUACCAGCUGCUCUCUAACGGAGAUGAAGGCAAAGGUGGCAACACUGUGGAGCCAACCAAGAAGGAAGGCACUCAUACACCACCAGCCCAUACAUCUAUGUUAGGAAGAUAUGGUGAUUAAUGACAGAUUUGAGAAUGUGACAUUUAGGGAAAGUGGUGAUUUAGUUACCUAUUUUAUUUGUUUUGUUUCUGUUUUGAUUUCAGCUUUGUUUGGAAAGUUUAAGGGAUUAAAUAGGAUGAGAUGGGAAGGGUCAGGACAUGCUGAAAUUGAUGUAUUUGAUCCCUAGGCUGGAGAGAAACCAGAGAUAUCCAAGCAGAAGCAGUAUAAUCCUCCUCCAAUUGUUAGUACAUUGAAGACUUCAGCUCAACAAAAUGCUGCCACUUUUCACUUUCCUGGUCACAACAGGGGUCGUGCUGCCCCAUCUUCACGAACUCACCUCAUUGAUAUCAAACCAUUUAUUCACGAUUUGCCUGAGCUUCAAGAGCUUGACAACCAGUUUUCAUUCCAAGGGCCCAUUUUAGAUGCACGAAAUGAAGCAGAAAUUACGGCUAAUCCAAGCUGCAGUUAUGGCUACAUGUUUCACCAGGAGACUAUCUAAUACUUCCCCGGUACUGUCAUUUAUCAACCAAAUCUGCUAUGGUCUUAUCUGGUGCCAUACCAAAGUACAUCAUACCUGAAUAUGAUGUUGAAUGGUCACAAAAUGAGUUAGUG